rnacentral:rRNA from 1 species
AUUGAACGCUGGCGGCAGGCCUAACACAUGCAAGUCGAACGAGUGGCGGACGGGUGAGUAACGUCUGGGAAACUGCCCGAUGGAGGGGGAUAACUACUGGAAACGGUAGCUAAUACCGCAUACCAUCGGAUGUGCCCAGAUGGGAUUAGCUAGUAGGUGGGGUAACGGCUCACCUAGGCGACGAUCCCUAGCUGGUCUGAGAGGGUGACGGGCCACACUGGAACUGAGACACGGUCCAGACUCCUACGGGAGGCAGCAGUAGGGAAUAUUGCACAAUGGGCGCAAGCCUGAUGCAGCCAUGCCGCGUGUGUGAAGAAGGCCUUCGGGUCGUAAAGUACUUUCAGCGGGGAGGCGUUACUCGCAGAAGAAGCACCGGCUAACUCCGUGCCAGCAGCCGCGGUAAUUC